ACAAGAACAACAAUGACUUUCAGCAUCAUCUUCAUCUGGACACUCACAGUGUUUAUUACAGAAUCCAGAGGAGUUACUCUGACUCAACCUAGAGUGAAAAGUGUUCAACAGGGACAAACAGGUACAAUAGAGUGUCAUAUAGAUGUAGGAAUAUAUAGCAACGAAUUACACUGGUACCAGCAGAAACCUGGAGAUGCUCCUAAACUCCUCAUAUAUUACAUCAAUAGCCUCCAAGCAACAACCCUCUAUUCUGGAACUCCAUCUAGAUUCAGUGGCAGUGGAUCAAACACAGAUUUUACUCUGAGCAUCAGCAGAGUUCAGACUGAAGAUGCAGGAGAUUAUUACUGUCAGAGUUUUCAUUAUAUCAAUAGUAAAUAUGUGUUACAGUUUUUUACGAUUGCUUAA